CAGCCUGCCCAGUGACUACAAGUUCAACGGCCGCGGUAUUUUGACCGUGCAAAGGUAGCGCAAUCACUUGUCUUUUAAAUAGAGACCUGUAUGAAUGGCUAAACGAGGGCUUAACUGUCUCCCCUUUCCAGUCAGUGAAAUUGAUCUACCCGUGCAGAAGCGGGUAUAAUAAUACAAGACGAGAAGACCCUUUGGAGCUUAAGGUACAAAACUCAACCACGUUAAGCAACUCAAUAAAAAGUGAAAACUUUGUGGAACAUGAGAUUUUACCUUCGGUUGGGGCGACCACGGAGGAAAAAAAAGCCUCCAGGUGGAACGGGAGAAUUUCCUAAAACUAAGAGAGACAUCUCUAAGCCACAGAACAUCUGACCAAAUAUGAUCCGGCUGAUACAAGCCGAUCAACGAACCAAGUUACCCUAGGGAUAACAGCGCAAUCCUCUCCCAGAGUCCAUAUCGACGAGGGGGUUUACGACCUCGAUGUUGGAUCAGGACAUCCUAAUGGUGCAGCCGCUAU
rnacentral:rRNA from 1 species